UACGUAGGGGGCAAGCGUUGUCCGGAAUCAUUGGGCGUAAAGAGCGCGUAGGCGGCCCAGUAAGUCCGCUCUGAAAGUCCGGGGCUCAACCCCGGGAGGCGGGCGGAUACUGUCGGGCUAGAGUCCGGAAGAGGCGAGUGGAAUUCCUGGUGUAGCGGUGGAAAUGCGCAGAUAUCAGGAGGAACACCGAUGGCGAAGGCAGGUCUCUGGGCCGAUACUGACGCUGAGGAGCGAAAGCGUGGGGAGCGAACAG
rnacentral:rRNA from 1 species